CUGGACUCUCCAGGAGCAGCUGGUCCAGCAGACACAGUGGUAAAUAAAAGAGACCUUGACGCAAACAAGAUGGAGGGUAAGAAUUGACACCUGAGGUUGUCUUUGGACUUCACAUACAUGCCAGCUCCCUCUCUCUGCCUUCCAGUAAUCUUUCUCUCUCACACACUCAAGAGAUAGUGCAUGCUUAGAAUUAUGCCAGAUGUGCCAUAGUCACCCGAUAAAGGCUUCGUCUUCAUCUUUCAUCACCAACAUCUCCAGAAGACACCGAGCCUAUAAGCAAAAUCUCCUCUGUUUUUUCUGUUAUCAUUUCAUCUCAAACAUAUCUAAUGUGAUACCAAUUUCCUCUUUAUGUUUUUUCCUUCCCCAUUUAGGGUCUCUCUAAGUUAUUCAGGUUAGACUUAAAUUCACUUUAGCUCAGGCUAUCCUUGACCUUGGAAUCCUCCUGUCUCUGCCUCCAUGGUAGCUGAGGCUACAGGCCUGUACCAUCAGACCCAGGUUCCCUUCUAUAGAAUAGUCCUCUUGUGCUUUGUUUUUUGGUGUGUUUUACCACACUCAGCCAUUUGCUGUGUGAGCUUUCAAAAGCAGUAUUGAUAGUUCUUGCAUUUAAUCCAUACAGCAGCCCUAUGGGGCACCGGCCUUUUCUUCUCCAUUUACAUUUGAAAACCGUCUAGAUCAGCUACAUGCUGGGUUUAAUGCAACUGACCAGUAAAAGGCUAGCCCAGUUCUCAAACCCAAGUCUUCUGACUCCAAGUCCAGUAUAGUUUUGCUCUGAUUUUCUAUGUGGGGUCGUGUGUAUAUGUGUGUGUAUGUGUGUCUGCGUGUCACCAAUAGGCUGUAAUUUUCUGAGAUUUUACCAAAAUGCCAACAAUAUCUAAGCUCCCCAAAUGGUAGAUAUUAAUUCCAAGUCUCUAAGUGUGCAUGUCUGGUCUCCCCAGGUUAGGGCCUUGAGCUUCCUUCUGACCUCUCACUAAGGGCAGAGCCAGAGGUCAUGACAGUGUAGAUGAAGCUCUAUUGAGGCGGAGAGUUGCCCCGCAGGAGGAAGUGCAGUGUGAGGCCACCCUGUGCAGGGAGAGUGUGCCCUUUGCCAUGAAAGGGGAGCAGCCGUUGCUGCCCUCACCCUCCAGUCACCCUGGCGAUGCCUCUCUAAGAAGAAUCCUUUCUGAUCCAUGAGGCCCUGCGACAUCAAAGGCCUGACCUUGUCCUCAGAUCCCCAGUUAAGCCCUUACCCUGUGACCCCAAGGACCCCCUGCUCCCCUUGGCUCACUUCUUUUCUCCUCAACAUCUCUGAGUUUGCAAAAGAACUGCAGGAAGGGGGACAUCCAGGAGGGCGGGCUCCAGAAAUAGUGACCCUAAUUGGGGAACUUUAGAGGUAGGCGUGAGGUUGUUGGAGGUCAGUGCAAACAGUGAACCCUCCUUGUCAGCACCGUCGACGCUACGCGUGAGCCUCCCACCCUCCACUGGCUGCAAGCUCCCAAAGCUGCGCUUUGAACUGUUGCUCGUCACUGAGCCAGGUGCUGGCACACGAUCAUCCUCUAUGGAAAUACCAGCUGUAAGCUAGAGAGUCUUCCAGGCGCAAAAGUAUGCAGCCUAGAGAGCAGGAGACUUUGUACCAAACGGUAGGAGAAAAGAGAGUCCUAAUGGUGGAUUUGGAGGUGGCUUUACCCCAAGCUGGGGACAUGGUGGAGUCAGGAAGCACCUCCAGGACAAAUGCUCCUCUCGGCAGCCUGGGGAAGCAGGAAAGCAGUGCAAGGUCAUUUAUGUGACCUGGAAACCCAAAAGCUCACCCCUGGGACAUGCAUUGGUCUGUUAGGGUGAAAGAGACCAACAUGCGUUCUUUGUCGCAGGCUUGUAAGCACAACGCUUCUAAAAAGGAAUAUCAUCAGAUGGUGCAAAGGAUGCCAUAUUGUAAUAAGUUGUUCCGUGUGUCUGAUCACACAGUGUCAAUCACACAUGCUGAUUGAUAACAGGUAAUGCUUGCUGGGCACCUGCUAGGAACCAGGCACUUGACUACAUAUACUGCAUCAAUUAUUCAUUUGACCUUCACAGCUUUACCAAACAGCUGGGCAUUUUCUUUAACUGUCACUUCAUUAUUGAAGGAGACAGGAUGAGUCCCAUAACUGAUCAUCGGAGGAGUCAGAUGUGGGCAGACAACAUUCAAGUCUGUGGUUUCAUCCAGCCACACCGGCCGCGUGUUAAGCGGGACUGGCAUCCGCUUUGGCUCCAAUGGGCUCAAGUCUGUAAAGCUGCAGGGUGCGCCUGAAUGCAGUUCGGGUCUUGGGUGUGGGAGUAUUGUUGCAGGAAGGGGACGGGCAAGAUGGUGUGACUUCUAACAGGGCAGGAGCCAGGACGGCAGAGCUGAGGGGUGGCUUUGGUGUCUUCUGAGUUACGGAGUCACUUCACGUGAGACGUGGUGAUGUGCGGUGGGAGUGUCCCACAGUCGAUGAAAGGUUCGCUCGGACUGACACCUGAGGAUGCGUGUGAGCACGUGCGCAGGUGUACAUGUGCAGGGAGGCAGACGGCGGGCUCGGGAGUCAUCCCUCAGGCGCUGUCCACCUUGCUUUCUGCGAUGCUGGCUUGUUCAGCUGGUUGGAGUCAUCUCCACAGACCUUCCUGUCUCCUCCCACAGCGCGGGCUUACAAGCUUACCACCGUGCCUGGACUUCUGGGGGAUCAAACUUGGCUCCCUGAGCCCUUUACCGAUUGCUCUUUCUCUUUAAGCCUACCUGAGCUUUUCUGUGACAUUCUGUGUAAUAGACGCCAAGGUUAAUGACCUCCUCCCUAAUGCCGACUUAUUAUUUGAAAGUUAUUUCUGGUACAAAAUGUAUUACAGUGUAAUAUAAGCUAUAAGACGUGAGGGUUUAGGGAGACAAAGUGCAAAUUUGUGCUGCCCGGCCCUGGCUGCCCAGACACAAGAGUUACAUUUUCUCCUUUUAGAAACUGCCUGGCAGAAGGCUUGGAUACCUCAACUGAUAAGGCUUCUGACCCUGAAUCUGAGAAACUGCCUGGCAUUCAACUUUUUCAACUGAUAUUUUAUGUAGACUUAUGAAUGACUCCUUACGUUACCUUAAUGAAAAAGAGUGUAACAAUCCUCCUUGAAAAAAAAACUUUAAACCCUGUUUUUAAGAAAGCACAAGACAUGAAAUUUAUGCAUAUUAUAUUUUAUUUCUUACACUAAAAAUAAAUGUGACACUAUGCUGGGGAAUAUAUUUGAAUUGUGAAAAUAUAACUGUCAACAUUAGAGAAGCAACAAAGUAUUAAAAAGAGCUCUCAUUUUUGUUUCGGAUCUUUCAGCAAAAUGUAAAAAACAAAAACAAAAACAAAACAUCAAAGGCAUUCUUGCUCAUAAGCCCUUUUAUGGAAUCAUUUGAGUUUGGCGGUCCAGAGACUAAGUCUAUUUCUUGGGUUUUGACUGUUUGAUAUAUUACGUGUUGGGGUUGGGGCGCGAUCUCAGUGGCUAAAGCACUUGCUGCUCUUCCGGAGGAUCUAGGUUUGAGUCCCAUCACCCACAUGGCGGCUCACAGCAGCCUGUAACUCCAGUGUCAUGGGAUCUUACGCCCCCUAUGGCCUCUGAGGGCACACCAGGCACACACAUGGUGCACAGACAUACAUGCAGGCAAAACACCCCCCCCCACACACACACACAAGGAAAAGCUAAAAACCACAGAAAUGUUGGGUUUUGCAAGACACCUGAAGAAGGGUCUGCAGGUCUGUCUUUUUCUUUUUCUUUUUUUUUUUCUUUGUUUGUCACAUAGCCAGUGGGAUUUCAUGAAAUAAUCCUGUGAUUCUUUUCCUUUCUAAAGGGGAUUUUUAAAGAUGCUAAUAGAAUUUCCCUAAGUUAACUGGAUUACUUGGUCCUUGAUAUUCCCCCAUCUCUUAUCAUAAAUAAGUAAUUCUUAUUAUGAAGACCAAGUAAAUUAAACCAUAUAAUUCUGAGCCAGGUUUUCCUUGGCUCUAUUCUACACGAUAGACAAAGUGAGUAAUCGUUAGGUUAGCUUUCCCCAGGCACCACCUUCGGAUCCCAGAGACUGGAAAGGCUCCAUCAGCGAGGCUCUGCUGAAUAUUAAAGAUGCCAUUCAUUUUUAUAUCAGGGAACCAAGUCUUAUCAAAUAGGCUAAACCCCUUAUGUGUCAGUUGACGACGUCUUCAAUACCACCUGUCCACAUGGAGGCCUAGUGACGUCACUCCUGGAGCUGCUUCCCAUAGAGCUCGUGUGCCCCCUCGGGAGGGUGGAGCUGGACUUUCACGCCGGGACUGUGUUAGAGCCCAGGGCAGAAGAUGUCCUGAUGCAGAAGAUUCCAGCUGCUGCUGCACACACUGAGAACUCUGGUCCAGGACGUGGAGAAGCCAAAGCAGAAGAGGAAUAGCUGGCUGAGCUGGCGCACUGGUUUUAGUUGUCAGGUACAACUAAACCCAGCUCUGACUCGGCCAGUGAAGCAAGGAAAGACACAUUCUCGAUGUCUGGAAGGCCCGUGUCUAUUUCAUUUUCCACUGAGAUGAUAAACUUACACAUAUUCAAUGAAGAGCAAUGCGCACAUGCUUUGCGUUAAAAUUCUUACUCCCCCACCCGCUCUUGUUGUUGUGGAUCAUUUUCUUAAAAGUCUGUUCCGGGUAGCUAUACCCUCCUAUGGAGCCACAUCCCGCAUACAUUUCACUUUUAAAGUAAAAUCACCCUUCUUGCAUUUAAGGAAUGGAAACUUGUUCAACUUGCCAAGCAUGGGUUCACCAUCGCUGAGACAAAUUUUCCAAAGGACUGGAAAAUCUACACACUUUAAACAAUAGAUAGAAUGGAAAUGCUUGAAUUUAUGGUACUCUAAAACAUAUUUUCCAAGGUUUGAUAUUGAAGGGAUACAUAUCAUAUUGCAGCUGAAGACAUUCAUUUGACCCUGUCUGACAGGAAAUUACAUUUGGACUUUCUUUCUAGCACACUUUCAACUUCCUCCUGUAUUACUUAAGCUUAUUUUGCUUAUGACUCUUCACUGUAAUUGAUGUUCUGUCCAUGGCUUUACCAACGACAGGAGCCACAUACAGCCCAUGGCUAAGUGAGUUUAGAGGCUCAUUUAAUCAUCACUAUAAGAAAAACUUGUUUUUUUUUUUUAACAGAAGCGUCUACUGAGAAUUCUGAAGGAUGACACACCCUCAGGCUGAUGAUUGGCCACAUAGAUUCAGCUCCAGAUAACUCCUAACCCUGGGUGCUUCCUACUGUGUGACUGUGCUUAUUAAAAUGCGUUCUUUAAA